rnacentral:rRNA from 1 species
CAAGUCGAACGGCAGCGGGGGCUUCGGCCUGCCGGCGAGUGGCGAACGGGUGAGUAAUGCAUCGGAACGUACCCAGUCGUGGGGGAUAACUACGCGAAAGCGUAGCUAAUACCGCAUACGCCCUGAGGGGGAAAGCGGGGGACCUUCGGGCCUCGCGCGAUUGGAGCGGCUGAUGUCGGAUUAGCUAGUUGGUGGGGUAAAGGCCUACCAAGGCGACGAUCCGUAGCUGGUCUGAGAGGAUGAUCAGCCACACUGGGACUGAGACACGGCCCAGACUCCUACGGGAGGCAGCAGUGGGGAAUUUUGGACAAUGGGCGCAAGCCUGAUCCAGCCAUGCCGCGUGAGUGAAGAAGGCCUUCGGGUUGUAAAGCUCUUUCAGACGGAAAGAAAUCGGGCGCGUGAAUAGCGUGCCUGGAUGACGGUACUGUCAGAAGAAGCACCGGCUAACUACGUGCCAGCAGCCGCGGUAAUA